CAUGUUAGCGCGUGAUUGCUACGUCAUACGCGUCAUGGCCGCUCUCAGGUUUCUUUCUGCUUGUUAUUGUUGAUAAUUUAUUUAGUACUCGUUUGUUUCUUGAAAUAUCUAUGUAUGAGAAGAUCCUUAUACCCGGUAUAAGUUUUUACGCUGUAUACUUUCAGUAUUUUAUGAAAAAUUAUUCACAAGUGUUAAAAUGGAGACUCGCCACAAACAUAACAAACCUAUAACAAAGGAUACGAACGAGUUUUCCUUCAGUAAAGAGGAGGACCUGAUUAUGUUAUUGAAUGCUAUUUUCAAAUAUGGAUAUUCAAAUCUUCCUUCCACUAUACUGCCAAAUAUGUCUGAGGAAGAGCGUCAUUCUGCAUUACAGUCAGCACUAGAAAAGGCAAAGAUUGCUAUUGACAAGAAACCUUCAGUAAUUGAAUGGUUAAACAGUAGCAUAUUUGACAAUGAUGAGUAUAAUAUACCUAUGGCAUUGUUACUUAUUGGAUUGUACGAGCUGUGUCCAUUGUGCGAGCAAAGAAAUGAAAAGUGCAAUUUUAGGGAAAUAUAUCUCUUUCUUUACAAGAUGACAACAAAUCAAAUUGUACCAUAUUUAUCGCAUGAGUCUGCAGAAAUCUUAUACAAACUAUUAUCAGGCUUAAUAGAUGAAGUAUGGCCAAGCAUACAGCCAGAGCUCCUUCAGUACUUAAGCAGUAUACAUAUUUACAGCAGAUCUGAAGUCAGGAGAACAUAUUCAGGAAAAAAAAUACUGAAGAAAAAAGCAGCAAAAAACUGCUCAUCCUAAAAGUAUAAGUGAUUUCAAUUUUCGGCUAUAAUUUUAAAGUUCUUUUAUUCUAAGAUUUUUUAACUCUGAAGAUUUAAUAUUCCAAAAAGGACUGUAAGACCCAAGAAAUAGUAAAUGUUGAAGGCUCAAAAUCCUUUGCUGUUGAACUAGUUGGGCUCCAAGAUUCUCCUCGUGCCAAUGUAGCGAUCUAAGUGUCAGAAGAGAAAUAUAUGCUUAAAAGAUGAACAACAUGGUGGAAAAAUGAAUGGAAUAGACGACUAAUUCAAUGAUUAUCUAAUCAUAUUUAAAAACUUUAUCACCUUGUCUCUGUACAAUGCUGCAGCUUUUGUAUUAUAACGCUGUGAGAUAGACAUAAAGUCAUCCCAGUCAGGUUGACUUUCGAAAAAUUCUCGAGCGUUUCUGUUACCACCGACUUUCAUUUUUGCUAGUUCCACAUCUUUCCAUUUAUCCAUAGAGACAGAACGGACAAAUGACAAGUGUACUCCUAAGCCACGAUGUUUGCCCGAACAUUCCAAACAUAUCCAGAUUCCAUAUGUCACAGAUACCCAUUGUGGAUUAUGGCUGCUGCAUU